rnacentral:rRNA from 1 species
GAUGAACGCUGGCGGCGUGCCUAAUACAUGCAAGUCGAGCGAACGGACGAGAAGCUUGCUUCUCUGAUGUUAGCGGCGGACGGGUGAGUAACACGUGGAUAACCUACCUAUAAGACUGGGAUAACUUCGGGAAACCGGAGCUAAUACCGGAUAAUAUUUUGAACUGCAUGGUUCAAAAGUGAAAGACGGUCUUGCUGUCACUUAUAGAUGGAUCCGCGCUGCAUUAGCUAGUUGGUAAGGUAACGGCUUACCAAGGCAACGAUGCAUAGCCGACCUGAGAGAGUGAUCGGCCACACUGGAACUGAGACGCGGUCCAGACUCCUACGGGAGGCAGCAGUAGGGAAUCUUCCGCAAUGAGCGAAAGCCUGACGGAGCAACGCCGCGUGAGUGAUGAAGGUCUUCGGAUCGUAAAACUCUGUUAUUAGAGAAGAACAUAUGUGUAAGUAACUGUGCACAUCUUGACGGUACCUAAACAGAAAGCCACGGCUAACUACAUG